rnacentral:sRNA from 1 species
AGGCCACAGACUGGGAGAAAAUAUUUGCAAAACACACAUCAAAACACUGACUUGCACCCAGAACAUACAGAGAACUCUUAAAAACUCAAAACUGCAAAAAGAAACACCUAAAAUUUGGCAAAAGAGUUGACAAUUUGCGAAGGGGAUAUACACAUGGCGAAAAAGCACAGGAAAAGAUGCUCAACGCCAUUACAGGUUAGGGAAGACAAACUACAACCAGGAUGAGGGCCCGAAACACAUGGCUUCAGAAUGGUGAAACUCAGCAACACUGACAAGGCCACGUGCCUGGGAGGAUGCAGAGGAACUGGGACACUCCAGUGUUACUGGCGGGAAGGCAGGUGGUACGGGCACUGUAGAAAAUGGUUUGGCCAUCUCUGAUGCAGUUAAAAGUGCACUUACCGUGGGACUUGGCUGCCCCACUCCUGGGUAUAAGAUUUACCCCCAGAGAAGUGAAAGCGCGCAGCCUUGUAGAAACCCACACACCAGUGUUUGUAGCAGUCUUGUUUGCAUUUUGGAUAGCGGCCUUGUUUGGUUUUCACAAACCACCCUCAGCGGACAGUCAGAUAAACUGUAGGCAUCCAUACAAUGGAAUACCACUCAGAACUGAGAGGGAACGACCUGUGGAUACAGGGAGGGAACAACUUGGGUGAAUCUCAUUAGAGACAUUAUGUGGAUGGCGGGAAGCCAGUCUCAACAGGUUACUUGUCUCGCGAUGCCAUCUACAUAAAGUUCCAGCAGAGACAAAAGUACAGUGACAGAGAACAGAUCAGUGUUUGCCGGGGCUAAUGGUGGGGACGGUGUGAUAGUGAAGGGACAGCACGGAGAGUUUUGCAGGGUGACAGACCUCUUCUGCAUCCUGCCAACGGCUGUGCGAAUCUACUUGUGUGAAGACUCAGGGAACUCACACCAAAGGAAGCGGUCACUUUUCCUACUGUAUGAUAGAUAAUUAAUAAAAAGGGAGAACGGAGGAGUGUCGUCCCAGGAGGCAGGGCAGGAGGGCGAAGACGUGUCACAGGGGAGCCUGGCCAAGUGGCGCCCCCGGAACUCAUCCUCUGGGCUUGUGUGUGGAUGAGACAAGGUCUACCUGGUACGACAGGGACAUACUGGGAAUGCGCCCUUGCCGUGGAGGCGGGGACCCGGCAGCGCUACGUAUCCAGCAUCACCCUGUAUCCAGCAUCAACCCGCCAAGUUCACUAACUUGGUAGGGGUGAGGUUAGGGAUCCUUAGGAGCCCAGGCAGCCAGACUUUCUGGGGAGCCCAUUCCCAUUUGUGUUGCCAAAGUACCCCCAGCAGGUUGUGGGAAUGUUGCCUGUGAAGAGAGUCUGUUGGGGUGAGAUCUUGUGUGUGUGCACAGGGUGACAGUUGUGUCCCAUUUCCCGGGAAGCUGUGAUGGCAGCAGAACCUAGAGGAGCCUGAGAGAGUGUGGGAGAGUGGGCCUCUGGAAGAGUAGAGGCUGCGGAGCCAGGUGCAGGGCUGUCUGUCACCCAAAGGAAGAGGGACUGAUGACUCACUGAGCGUGUGUGUCCCCUGGUGGCAGCAGGCCCCAUAGUGAACAUACCAUACCUUUUCUGUCCUGAGCGAUGCUCCCAGCAGUCCUGGGAGAUGGAACGGUCCUUAUUCGGCUCACGGGAAGGACCGCCUUAACUGGACAGACACAGCAAGGUGCUAAAGAUGCCUUCCAUCAGAGGCCAGGUUGGAAGCUCUAAAGAGACUUCUCUUGCUGUUCUCUCACCCACCCCCAGGUUGUGUGUGUCCCGCUGUGGAUUCUCAUGUCCUUUCUGUGCCUGGUGGUCCUCUACUACAUUGUGUGGUCCGUCUUGUUCUUGCGCUCUAUGGAUGUGAUUGCGGAGCAGCGCAGGACACACAUAACCAUGGCCCUGAGCUGGAUGACCAUCGUCGUGCCCCUUCUUACAUUUGAGAUUCUGCUGGUUCACAAACUGGAUGGCCACAACGCCUUCUCCUGCAUCCCGAUCUUUGUCCCCCUUUGGCUCUCGUUGAUCACGCUGAUGGCAACCACAUUUGGACAGAAGGGAGGAAACCACUGGUGGUUUGGUAUCCGCAAAGAUUUCUGUCAGUUUCUGCUUGAAAUCUUCCCAUUUCUACGAGAAUAUGGAAACAUUUCCUAUGAUCUCCAUCACGAAGAUAAUGAAGAAACCGAAGAGACCCCAGUUCCGGAGCCCCCUAAAAUCGCACCCAUGUUUCGAAAGAAGGCCAGGGUGGUCAUUACCCAGAGCCCUGGGAAGUAUGUGCUCCCACCUCCCAAAUUAAAUAUCGAAAUGCCAGAUUAGAUGCCACUUCCGGGGACAGAGCUUAAGUGGACUGGGACGCACUCUCUCCGCCUUCCUCUGCCCCCUCGUUCACCCCGCAGACCAGAACCAGUACUGGAGCUGGGUCUCCAGGUACGUCCAUCUCAUGCCUUGUUUGCAUCCAGCGCCUAUCAGCCACUCACCACGACGGGACGCGGAAGUGGCAGGUGACGGGGGUGUGUGCCAGCAGAUGCAGAUGCCAGGAAGAGUGUCAGAACAGGGGUGGGAUUACCAUCUGUCUGGGAGGGCCUCCAGGUACCCCUCUUCCCCGUCAGACCCACUGGGAGAUGGCUGCUUGCCAGGCCCCCAGAAGGAACAUCUGUCUAUACGGUGCUGAAAUCCCAAUCAAAAGUAUUGUUUAGAAAUGUAUUUCUCCACAGGGCUGACCUCCUGCAGCUCGCUCAGCACUCCCAGGUCGUGGCUGGGGCAGUCAGUAGGAACUGUAACUAUGUCUCUGAUGCACCACGUGUUUAGACACAGCACAGUCCUUUUUUCUGUUCCUACUGUGGAAGUAGUUUCUCUUUGGGCAUGCUGACAGCAGUUUUUCAUAGCCUCACCGAUGAGCCCUUUCUACGGGAGUGACUCCAUGCUUGUAUACAGAGUAUUUAUACAAAUGUUUUAGCAUCUUCAUAUGUGGUGUUAAACCCUAGUUCUGUACAGCAUAUUCUGUUCAAGUAUUUUUUUACAAGCUUGUGCUGUAGGCACAUGCCUUCUGCUGCAGAAGUGGACGCCCGUGGCACACUCCCCCCCUCCCGUGGGGUGCCACGCCUUCAUGGGACAUUGCCACUUCUGCCCUGGAACUCAUGCAGGUACGUAGUAGCUGCUACUGCCAGAACGGCAACACCAAGCAAGAGAUGGUCCAUGCUUUUCUGACGUUCUCAGAAUAGUGGCUAGCUUCGAACCUGACAAGCGCUGCUUGAAGCCGGAACACUAGAGAAUGUUGCUGAGAGCAGAAACGGCCACGCGGGUCACGACUAUGCGUGGGAAAGUCUCAAGCUUCCCUCCUGCCAGCAACAAGAAGGCUUUGGAGUAGGCAUGAUGUUUUCACGUGUGCGUGCCGUUUCUCCAAGCACUGCAGGUUCCACCGUGUGUCAGAGGCUGCAAGUUUAACAUCCUCCUGCCUGAAAACAAAUAGGUCCUUUGCUGAAAAGAGGGUAAAAAAAGAGCUUUGAUCUUCUCAGCCAGGAGAAGAGGGUGGUGUUUUCACGCGGGCAACUGCUCGCCGGCCUACAUGGGGUUAAUUCAAGUCUGCUGCGAGCACGACUCCGCCCUUGGCACUGGCCUCCAGCAAGCCCUGUUCUCUUUGGGGUAUAGGGGAACGGGAUGGUUUAGCCUUUCCUGCUCAGUGUGUGAAAAAUGUAGCUAAUGCCACUAUUUUUGCUCUCUUAAGCUGUUCAAUAAACCGGUUCCUCAUUUUA